CCUCCUUCGGGAGGGGAUUAGUGGCGAACGGGUGAGUAACACGUGGGCAAUCUGCCCUGCACUCUGGGACAAGCCCUGGAAACGGGGUCUAAUACCGGAUACUGAUCAUCUUGGGCAUCCUUGGUGAUCGAAAGCUCCGGCGGUGCAGGAUGAGCCCGCGGCCUAUCAGCUUGUUGGUGAGGUAAUGGCUCACCAAGGCGACGACGGGUAGCCGGCCUGAGAGGGCGACCGGCCACACUGGGACUGAGACACGGCCCAGACUCCUACGGGAGGCAGCAGUGGGGAAUAUUGCACAAUGGGCGAAAGCCUGAUGCAGCGACGCCGCGUGAGGGAUGACGGCCUUCGGGUUGUAAACCUCUUUCAGCAGGGAAGAAGCGAAAGUGACGGUACCUGCAGAAGAAGCGCCGGCUAACUACGUGCCAGCAGCCGCGGUAAUACGUAGGGCGCGAGCGUUGUCCGGAAUUAUUGGGCGUAAAGAGCUCGUAGGCGGCUUGUCGCGUCGGUUGUGAAAGCCCGGGGCUUAACCCCGGGUCUGCAGUCGAUACGGGCAGGCUAGAGUUCGGUAGGGGAGAUCGGAAUUCCUGGUGUAGCGGUGAAAUGCGCAGAUAUCAGGAGGAACACCGGUGGCGAAGGCGGAUCUCUGGGCCGAUACUGACGCUGAGGAGCGAAAGCGUGGGGAGCGAACAGGA
rnacentral:rRNA from 1 species